rnacentral:tRNA from 1 species
GGCGCUAUGGUGCAGUGGUUAUCACGUCUGCUUUUCACUUAGAAGGUCCCCAUUUCGAACCUGGGCAGUGUCA